rnacentral:rRNA from 1 species
UACGUAGGGUGCAAGCGUUGUCCGGAAUUAUUGGGCGUAAAGAGCUCGUAGGCGGUUUGUUGCGUCGGCUGUGAAAUCCCGAGGCUCAACCUCGGGUCUGCAGUCGAUACGAGCAAACUAGAGUGUUGCAGGGGAGACUGGAAUUCCUGGUGUAGCGGUGAAAUGCGCAGAUAUCAGGAGGAACACCGGUGGCGAAGGCGGGUCUCUGGGCAACAACUGACGCUGAGGAGCGAAAGCGUGGGGAGCGAAUGGG